AGCUACCACUGCAGUAGCAACAUGCUUGUUAUUUUGGAGACUCUUAGCUAAUCUGAGAAAUGAGGAUAGCAGUGUGUGCUUUGAGAAGUUGCCUCCACAGAUGGGACAGAUGGUGUAUUUCUCCUCUGUAUAUCCAUUGUCCGUUCUCUACGUACAUAUAUGCAGGUCUGGCAAGAGAGACAUGCUCCAGGUUCCAUCUGCAAAGAAGUUCCAUUUGAUGGGACACAGCAGAUGAGCCUCUU